rnacentral:ncRNA from 1 species
CCUUCGAUGUCGGCUCUUCCUAUCAUUGCGAAGCAGAAUUCGCCAAGCGUUGGAUUGUUCACCCACCAAUAGGGAACGUGAGCUGGGUUUAGACCGUCGUGAGACAGGUUAGUUUUACCCUACUGUGAUAUGUUGUUGCGAUAGUAAUCCUGCUCAGUACGAGAGGAACCGCAGGUUCAGACAUUUGGUUCAUGUGCUUGGCCGAUCGGCCAAUGGUGCGAAGCUACCAUCUGAGGGAUUAUGACUGAACGCCUCUAAGUCAGAAUCCCACCUAGACAAGGCAACGAUAAAUUUGCUCCCUGAUGUCGGGAGGCACUAUUAUGUAAUUAUGAACAUAUUCAUACUAUUACAGCUAAUGCCCCAUUAUAUGGCCUUGCUAUUUAAUCGAAUGGUUAAAUGGUUGCCAAAACCGGAUUACUCUGGUACAAUGUCGGGGCGCAAGAUCACUUGCAGACGACUUGAUUACUGGUCAAGGUGUUGUAAGCAGUAGAGCAGCCUCCAUACUGCGAUCUGUUGAGACUUAUCCUUUGAUUGGACGAUUUGU